rnacentral:rRNA from 1 species
GAUGAACACUGGCGGCGUGCCUAAUACAUGCAAGUCGAGCGAACGGACGAGAAGCUUGCUUCUCUGAUGUUAGCGGCGGACGGGUGAGUAACACGUGGAUAACCUACCUAUAAGACUGGGAUAACUUCGGGAAACCGGAGCUAGUACCGGAUAAUAUUUUGAACCGCAUGGUUCAAAAGUGAAAGACGGUCUUGCUGUCACUUAUAGAUGGAUCCGCGCUGCAUUAGCUAGUUGGUAAGGUAACGGCUUACCAAGGCAACGAUGCAUAGCCGACCUGAGAGGGUGAUCGGCCACACUGGAACUGAGACACGGUCCAGACUCCUACGGGAGGCAGCAGUAGGGAAUCUUCCGCAAUGGGCGAAAGCCUGACGGAGCAACGCCGCGUGAGUGAUGAAGGUCUUCGGAUCGUAAAACUCUGUUAUUAGGGAAGAACAUAUGUGUAAGUAACUGUGCACAUCUUGACGGUACCUAAUCAGAAAGCCACGGCUAACUACGUG